UAAACGACUCUCGGCAACGGAUAUCUCGGCUCUUGCAUCGAUGAAGAACGUANCGAAAUGCGAUACUUGGUGUGAAUUGCAGAAUCCCGUGAACCAUCGAGUCUUUGAACGCAAGUUGCGCCUGAAGCCAUUAGGUUGAAGGCACGUCUGCCUGGGCGUCACGC
rnacentral:rRNA from 1 species